UGCAUUGACUACUACAACUUAGG
rnacentral:snRNA from 1 species